GCUUAACACAUGCAAGUCGAACGAAGCACUUUAUUUGAUUUCCUUCGGGACUGAUUAUUUUGUGACUGAGUGGCGGACGGGUGAGUAACGCGUGGGUAACCUGCCUUGUACAGGGGGAUAACAGUUGGAAACGGCUGCUAAUACCGCAUAAGCGCACAGUAUCGCAUGAUGCAGUGUGAAAAACUCCGGUGGUAUAAGAUGGACCCGCGUUGGAUUAGCUAGUUGGUGAGGUAACGGCCCACCAAGGCGACGAUCCAUAGCCGACCUGAGAGGGUGACCGGCCACAUUGGGACUGAGACACGGCCCAAACUCCUACGGGAGGCAGCAGUGGGGAAUAUUGCACAAUGGGCGAAAGCCUGAUGCAGCGACGCCGCGUGAGCGAAGAAGUAUUUCGGUAUGUAAAGCUCUAUCAGCAGGGAAGAUAAUGACGGUACCUGACUAAGAAGCACCGGCUAAAUACGUGCCAGCAGCCGCGGUAAUACGUAUGGUGCAAGCGUUAUCCGGAUUUACUGGGUGUAAAGGGAGCGCAGGCGGUGCGGCAAGUCUGAUGUGAAAGCCCGGGGCUCAACCCCGG
rnacentral:rRNA from 1 species